rnacentral:rRNA from 1 species
GACGAACGCUGGCGGCGUGCCUAAUACAUGCAAGUAGAACGCUGAAGGAGGAGCUUGCUUCUCUGGAUGAGUUGCGAACGGGUGAGUAACGCGUAGGUAACCUGCCUGGUAGCGGGGGAUAACUAUUGGAAACGAUAGCUAAUACCGCAUAAUAGUAGAUGUUGCAUGACAUUUGCUUAAAAGGUGCAAUUGCAUCACUACCAGAUGGACCUGCGUUGUAUUAGCUAGUUGGUGGGGUAACGGCUCACCAAGGCGACGAUACAUAGCCGACCUGAGAGGGUGAGUGGCCACACUGAGAGUGAGACACGGCACAGACUGCUAGAGGAGGGAGCAGUAGGGAAUCGGGGGCAAUGGACGGAAGUCUGACCGAGCAACGCCGAGGGAGGGAAGAAGGUUGUCGGAUCGGAAAGCUCGGUUGUAAGAGAAGAAAGAGUGUGAGAGUGGAAAGUUCACACUGUGACGGUAUCUGACCAGAAAGGGACGGCUAACUACGUG